CCUCCUGUGUCUUCUCCAAGCUUCACAUGUAAAAUCCAACAAUGUGAAGCACAUAGCAGCCAGAAACUGUAAUGCCACAGAUCAGAGAAACUUCAUCAUCACCAUCUUCAUCGCCGUACGAUCAGAGCGUGAGACUUCACAUCUGGAGCACAGGAGACAUUCUGUGAUAAGUCCUCCUUCUAGCUUGUCCCACAAGCAGCCGGUGAGAUUUACUCACAACAAAAAGGGUUAAUGACAUAAUUUCCAUGAAAACAUGUAUUCAUUCUUUGUAAAGUGUUUAAAUUGUGUUUUCACUUGACCUUAGGAGUGUUAGAGUGUAUUGUAAUGUCUGUACUCAGGUGUUUCCCUCUGUGAUCCAUCCCCUUCAGAGCUGAGACACUCAGGACUGAACAGACGGCACAGUUUCUGUGACUGAGCCUCCAAAACACCUUCUUUGAAACCACUCAUGAUAGAAGGGCUUCAUAUUUGCAGCAGCACUACUACAGUUGGCAGGAAUGUUGCUGCAGGAAAACAUCCCUGGAGAUCACCAUCAUUGUCAGACUGACUGUGCCUCCUCUGUGCAGUGUCAAGAUCCUCCCUAAAUGAGUGUUCCUCAGCUAUCCUGCUUCUGUGCUGCUUGCCACACAUCAAACUGUGGCCGGAUGACAGGGAGGAUCCACUCUGAAGUCACUGGACAUGAUGAGGAUCAUAUGGGACUUUAUAGUUUCACAGAAACGAUGUGCUCUGUGAUUACAGGUUUUAAAUGGACAUAAUGACUGCCUCUCUCUGAUCAACAGGCUAAAGGAUUGUUGUCAUUGUUAGUGCUCUGUACAAUGUAUGCUUAUUUAGUAUUUCAUCACAGAGCAAACCUUUUUUUCUUUAACAUAUUUUUAUUUUUUUAUUUGUGGGGAUAGGUUAAUUGA